UUUCCUGGGCAAAGCAGAUAGGGAAAACGGGAACGAGAAGGCAAAGUCCAAGCGACGACGGUCGCCGCCAGCCUCAACGGAGCGGAUUUGGUUUGGCUUUUCUUCUCGGCCAGACAGAGCCAGGAGUUUUGCACUCCAAGCAGGUGGAGGAUACCGAGGAGGAGGAGGAAGAAGAAGAAGCGGGGGAAACAGCCCUGGGCAGAGGCGGAAGGAGCGCGCCUCAUUGGCUGAAUAGUUUCUCGUUAGGCGAAGGAAAGUUGGCCGCGGAAUUCCUGACCGUUCCGCCGCGGGCAGAGCCGGACUCGGUGGGGGAAAAAAGAAAAGCAGGAGCACCAGCCGCAGAGGGGACUCUGCCACUCCUUAAUCUAACCAAGAAGGUCUUCUGGAGAGAAACCAUACAUCUAACGUGGUUGUGAGAAGAUAGGAUUCUGUAAGUAUAAUGGAGCCAAAUACAAGGCGGAUAAAUUCAAUUUAACCAAUAAUUAAAAUAUGAUAACUAAAAAUUUGAAGGAAGAACAAAAUAAAGAAUUAGAAAGACUAAUAGGACUACAAGUGACAAAGAAAGUUAAAUGUCUUGGAAUAUGGUUAACUGCAAAGUGCUCAACUAUAAAAGAAAAUAAUUAUACAAAAUUAGUGCAACAAGUAAAAAAAAGAUCUAGAAUUAUGGGGGAAACUACAACUAUCAUUAUUAGGGAAAAUAGCAACGAUAAAAAUGAAUGUAUUACUGAGACUAUUAUACUUAUUUCAAACAAUCCCCAUAAAAUUAGAAAAACAUUUUUUAUUGAAUUGAACAAGAUUACAUUAAAAUUUAUAUGGCAAGGGAAGAAAGCCAGGAUAAAGUUGAAAGCUCUACAGGAUGACAGAAGCAGAGGUGGUAUGGGACUCCCUGACUGGGAGCUUUAUUACAAAGCAGCAGCAUUAACUUGGAUUAGGGAUUGGAUAAAUUUAAAAAAUUUAACAUUAGAGGGCCACGAUUUGCAAACAGGAUGACACUUCUUCCUAUGGGAAGAGGGUAAAAAGAAACAAAAAUACAUUCAUAGACACUAUAUUAGAGAUUCAUUGAUACAGGUCUGAAAUAAAAUUAGAGAAAAAUACUACAUGAAAAUACCGACAUGGCUUUCCACUAUGGAAGCCAUGACACAUCCCAAUACACUAGAUCUAUCAAAAAUGGUUAGAUAUACUGAAAUUUUAGACAGCCAAGGAAAUUUGAAAACAAAUCAAGAAUUAAAGGAGCAAAAUAUAAAUAUAGACUGGUGGCCAUACCUUCAGCUACAAUCGAG